GAUUGCUCGGGGCACACACGGCUCUCCUCAGAGAUUACUGGCGGCACACAUGCGAUUGCUCGCAGCACGUACUGGCUUUCCACACUAAGGCUUUACAGCUGACAGAGCUACGAUUGAACUGCCUGCUUUCAAACUAUUGACCUUUUUCUAGCAUCCUCCGCCUUAACAGCAUGUCGAUCUUUACUGCCCAGAAGCCAUAGUCUCAUCCAUGGUCUGCCUGACUGGAGGCACAUGUGACUGGUGUGUGGGUGCUGCUCCUGAGAAGGAUACUAUCAUGGAGCUGUCUUCAAGACCUCCACCUUGGCAGUUCCCUUGGCUCUGACUCCCCGUGAACCAUGGUGACUACUAUUGGAAGACACUGUAGAACUGGACAACUGAUAUGAUCCAAGCUGCAGCAGGGUGCUCACCUGUGAUCCCACUACUCAGGAGGCUUGAAGUUUGAAGCCAGCAUGGAACCCUGUCCCAGGAAAC
ensembl:lincRNA Gm28807 predicted gene 28807